CCUAACACAUGCAAGUCGAACGGUAACAGGAAGAAGCUUGCUUCUUUGCUGACGAGUGGCGGACGGGUGAGUAAUGUCUGGGAAACUGCCUGAUGGAGGGGGAUAACUACUGGAAACGGUAGCUAAUACCGCAUAACGUCGCAAGACCAAAGAGGGGGACCUUCGGGCCUCUUGCCAUCGGAUGUGCCCAGAUGGGAUUAGCUAGUAGGUGGGGUAACGGCUCACCUAGGCGACGAUCCCUAGCUGGUCUGAGAGGAUGACCAGCCACACUGGAACUGAGACACGGUUCAGACUCCUACGGGAGGCAGCAGUGGGGAAUAUUGCACAAUGGGCGCAAGC
rnacentral:rRNA from 1 species